UAAGCUAAUGAAAUAAAUCAAUUUUAAAUGGUACCCUUAAAAAUUGGGAGGCAUGGACCUAUAUCAAUAUGAAUGGAAUUUGAUACAUAGUAUUUCACCCCAUCUGUAGUAGUUGACAGGUUGCAACUUAAGACCACCCACAACACUAAUGUCUAUAAACAUAAUCGUCUACCCUACCCAUUGUUAGAACAUUCAGAAAGAAAAUAAGAAGAAGAAAGAUAGUAAACCAAGGUGAAGAGGAUUGAAUGAGCAGAAGGAAGAAAGAAGGAUCGAAAAUUAUGAGUAAUUGAGAUAGUUUUUAUUUCUGUUUUUCAUAGUAGUUAAGUUUGGUAUACAAUACUAUUUAUAGUAAGUGCACCUAACUGCCCAAACUAAUUUUUGAAUUACUUUCUAAUACCCCCUAUGAUUCAAAAACUACAUUAAUUUUUGAAUUACUUUCUAAUACCCCCUAUGAUUCAAAAACUACAUUCCAUUAAAAAUUACAUUUCUCAAUAAGCAUAUGAGAAUUAACUAGUUAUCUAAAACAUCAUUCAAGCAUUGAACUGCUAUCUCUUUUCUCAAACCUUUGAAUCUGUCCAUCUUCAAUGCUUUGGUCAUUAUGUCCGCAAGUUGUAUUUCUGUCUUGCAGUAUGUGAAUUUGAUCUUUCCUUUUGAGACUUGUUGCCUUAGAUAAUGAUACCUUGUCUCUAUGUGUUUACUUCUGUCAUGGACGACUGGAUUUCUUGCUAAGUCAAUGAUUGAUUUGCUGUCUACCAUUAACUCCACACUGCACCCUUCUUCAAUGCCAAGUUCCAACAACAAUGACGAAAGCAAGCAGCUAUAUAUUCAGCCUCGCAAGUUGAUAGAGCCAUCACCUUUUGUUUCUGCGAAAGUUGAUAGAGCCUCGCAAGUUGAUAGAGCCACCAGCUUGACAAGCUGUUGAGCAAGCAGCUAUAUAUUCAGCCUACACUGAAGGAGAUCAUUGGUCUGGAAUGACACAUGUAUCUUAGACUUUCAACCAUUUUCCUGAAUAGAGUUCCAUAUGUGUUGCCUUCUUCUUCACAGGUUCCUAAUUUUUGAUUCACUUUAGCUGGUGUUUCAGAGGGGUUGCAACUCAACAUCUUGAACAAGUUCAAUAUUUUCAAUAGAUACUUCCUUUGAUACAUGAAUAAUCCUUUAUUGGUGUAUUGAAAUUCUAGACCAAGGAAGUAGGACAGUCUUCCCAAGUCUGUCAUUUCGAACUCACCAUUUAGCAUUUCCUUCAGUUCCUCAAUUCCUUUGGAGUUGCUGCCUAUUAUUAACAAAUCAUCUACAUACAGACAGAUAUACAAGGCAUCCUGAUUCUGGUUGAGAGAUUUGAUGUAUACCUCAUGUUCUACCACACAUUUCUGAAAUCCAGAGUCAAAUAGGAACUUGUCAAUUCUUUUGUUCCAAGCUCUAGGAGCUUGCUUUAGUCCAUAAAGUGCCUUGUUUAGUCUAAGCACUUUCUGAUCAUUCCCAUUGCUGAUAAAUCCAGGUAGUUGAGUGACAUACACCACUUCCUCUAGUGGACCAUUUAGGAAUGCAGACUUUACAUCCAAUUGCCACAAGCUCCAAUUCUUCCAACUAGCUAGAGCUAUUAUAAGUCUUAUUGUUUCUAGCCUAGCUACAGGUGCAAAAACUUCAGAAUAGUCCAAUCCUUCCUUUUGCAUAAAUCCUUUGGCCACAAGUCUUGCUUUGUGUUUAGCUAUAGUGCCAUCGGGUUUUAGUUUAACCUUGGAAACCCAUUUGACUUUAAUUGGUUGUUUCUUUUCUGGUAAGUCCACCAACUCCUAGGUAUUUUUAUUUUCUAUGGACUUGAUCUCCUCUUUCAUGGCUGCUCUCCAAGUAUCAUUGGAUAUUGCUUCUUCAAAACUGAUUGAUUCUUCAUCAGCAAAUAGAGCCAUGCGUUGCACUAUAUCUCCUUCUUAAUUUACCUCAUCAUCAGGACUCAAGACAUAAUCUGUUAACCAAGAGGGUGGAUUCCUUGCCCUUGUUGGUCUAGUUCUUUCUAGUGAAGGAGAUGUGUUUGCUGGAUCUAUGCUCCUUUCAUCCAAUACUGACUCAUCAAUUUCCCAGUCUAUGUGCAUCUUGGCCAAGGAUAUGGGAAUUUCCUUUUCACCUUGCCAUGAGUUUAGUUCAUCAAAAACCAUAUCCCUGCUAAACACUACAUGUUUUGUCUUAGGGUAGUACAACUUAUAGGCCAUUGUAGUGUUGUAGCCAAGCAGGAUCAUAGCUUCUCCUUUGUCAUCAAGUUUCUUUUUUUUCUGAUCUGGUAUGUGUCUAUAACAAAGAGAUCCAAAGAUUCUUAAGUGUUUUACUGAUGUUUAAUUCCCGACCAUGCUUGUUCAGGGACUUGACCAAGAAGUCUUUUGGUUGGGCACCUAUUCAAUAGGUAAGCUGCUGUUGAUGCUGCUUCACCCCAAAAACUGUGUGGCAGGUUCUUACCCUUUAGCAUGCUCCUCAUCAUGUUUAGUAUGGUUCUAUUUCUCCUUUCUGCAAUUCCAUUGUGCUGAGAUGUGUAAGGGGCAUUUACCUCAUGUAUAAUUCCUUGCUCCUUAAGGAAGUUUUCAAAUUCUCCUGAAGUGAACUCUUCUCCGCCAUCAGUUCUUAGCACCUUGAUACAUUUUUCUGAUUGUUUCUCUACCAAUAUUUUGAACAUCUUAAACACUGAAUAUGUGUCACUUUUGGCCUUCAUCAAGUAUAACCAUAAUUUCCUGCUCAACUCAUCUAUGAAUGUAACAAAGUACUUAUUUCCUCCAUUGAUAGAGUAUCAAUUGGUCCACACACAUCAGAGUAAAUCACAUGCAAGAGUUUAUUUGCUCUAGAGGGUGUGAUGAGCAAUAUAUUACACACUAUUCAUAACCUUAAUUUAGCAUGAUUGAUGAUUCUUGGUGCCUAAUUGACUUUGUUUCACAUGGUUUAGUGUUUUAGACUUUAUUGGACUAAUAUUCCUUAAAUGAGUUAAUUUGGGAUUAUUUGGCCUGAUUAAAUCUAUUAUCAUUUUCAGAUCACAUUUGGCACCAAUGGCAUUUUGGGCAUUAUGGAAGUCGAGGAUAUGUGUUGAAGUGAAGAUUGUAUUUUUA
rnacentral:lncRNA from 1 species